UUUUUGGGGGGGUUCUUUUUUUAAUACACAUUUUCUCCUAAUUUUAUCUAUAUUUUGUAUUGGUAUUAUUAAUGUGUCCAAGGUUUUUAUAUUCUGUUGUGUAAAUGUAGGGAAUGUUUUGCUUUUAUAGGUUCCUCUUUCCUGUUAUAACAUUUAGAAUGGUGUCUUUCUUUGCUUUUUAACUUGAUUGAUGGGUGAAAUCAGGAAGCACAAAAAAUAGGUGCUCUCUAUAUACUUAUAGUGGAAGGCAGAAGCCAAUUCUACAAAGAUUCCCAAAAUCUUGUGGAGAUAGAAAUAUAGCACAAAAACAAUAGGCUAAAAUACAAAAUAGGUCAUAUGUGGAGUCACAAAAUAAAUAUAUAUUUUAGUGGUGUGUGUGUGUACAUCAAGCUUAUGGGAUCUUUAUCCGUUACACAGUAUCAGAUUUCUCAGAAAGAACCAAAAAGAAUAGUGCAAUAGUUCCUUAAUAGAAUAAAGUGCUAUAGCGAAAGCUCACUCACAAUUUAUAGAGCUACAAAGUGCUCCACUUUAUUCGGCUUAGACGGUAAAACCCCCGACUUGGGAUUUGUUUUUAGCAGUGGUGGUAGUGGGCUUUGCCAAUAUAUCAAGAUAUGUGGGGAAAAAAAUGAAUAUCCAAUAGUGCAACAUGUAUACUAAAGUGACUGCGUAUACAAAGGUUAGUAUCUCACUCACAUGAACUAGAACAUGGACCUGCUCUAGUGUAGAAGCGGUGUGGUGGUAUAACCCCCACCCAGGAUGUGUAUGGAUCAGGAAGCCAAAAAUAAAAAAAGUUAACCAUCCAAAAUAAGUUCCAGAUUAAUUACAUUUUAAAAGGAUUACGUUUUAUUGCAAUACACAAACUAAAUUUAAAAAAAUAUAUAAUAUAAAACAGUCAUAUAAAUGGUAAAAUCUCACUUUACGUGUUUGACCUUGGUUUCAUCAGAAGUGUGGAUUGUUAGUGCAUAGAAUCAGUUUAUAUAGGUAAGUAAUCAAUUUGAUUAACCGUGAACAAAUGUGCACAAUAAAGUUAAUUAGCAUAAAAUGCAGUACAGUAACAAAUGGAUUAAGCAAUGGAACCAACUGAACAGAAGAAAUUUUCUUUAGAAUAUUUUUUACACAAGGUAAAUCAAUUCCUCUAUUUACACAACAGCAUUAAAAUGGGACACGUUAGAAAAAUAAAACACAAACGGUAUACAGAAUUAUGAGAAGAAGUUUAUUAGACAAAACACUAAAAAGUAGGUCUGCUUUAAAUUGACAUUUAGCCUGAUUUGUAAUUUGGGAAAGACUGGUUAUUCGCUAAACUUUGACUGAUGGAGGAUUGAAAAGAGAGAAUUGCAAAUGUUAUGGACAAAAUUACUAAAUUUGACACUUUCUCCAGUUUUUUUUUUUUUUUCUAUCCUGAUCCUAAAAUUUGCAAUUCUCGUAAAAUCCAUAAGCGAAUGCAUUAACAUGUAAACAAGUUACGGAGACGUGAUAAAUUACAAAUAGUCAAUCAAUAUACAACCAGUCUGUUUUAGUAGUGUUCUUGUCCUUUUAUCUAUACAUGGCUGAUGAGAUAUGUUUUUCUACAUUGACAGCUUGUAUUUUCUGCUUGUUGAUGCCUUUGCACAGUUUGGGGAACUCACCAAUGGAGACCGUCCUCCUACACCACAUGAGAUUCACAGGGGGCAUGAUUUUGGUAUGUUUAUUUUCAGUGAAAAAGUGUUAAAGAUAAAAUCUCAUCUGUUCUUUUUUUCAGGCAAUAAUUUGCCUCUGUAGCAUUUACUUUACUUGGGACCACCACAAGGCAGCUUAUAUAAAUCUUCUGGGAACAUUGUUAUAAAGAUGCAGUGCUUUGAAAAAUACAUGGACCAUAAAUGUACUCCCAUUUACUUUGUAUUUUUUUUUGUUUAUGCAGGCUGACUGUUUGCAUUUGACAGUGUAGAGAAUUAUGUUUUUAAACGGAAUCCAUCGACAAUGUGUUGUGUAUAAUAUGUUUCAAUCGCCUCUUUUAAUAUAGUGAUUGAUUGAAAUUCCUAUUUUAUUUUUAUCUGCACAGAAGUGUGAAAUGAUAUUUAUUGUUAAGCGAAAGGAUACACAACGGUAAACCUUCUAUAGUUCUGGAGACAUCAUGAUACUGAAUACAGCAUAAAUCAUCUUUUAUAUUACAAAAUAAAGUAAAAAUUUUCUGUUCCACAACAAAUAAAAUGCCAGGGGUAGUUACCUGUAGCUACUGUGGAAUGAAAAACAUACCCACACAAACGCACAUUCAUUUCAGUGUUAUUCACAAAAGUGAAAAUUCAAAUUUAAGAGCAAAAUUGUUGAGCUGGAGGCAUAAGUAAAAUUAUUUUCCCUUUCAGCUACAUGGCCUUAAAUUUGAACAUUUUCACUUGAGUGAAUAAUUAGGUUGUCUCAAUGGCAGGCCUGGUAUAUAUGUUACAGCUUGCCUAAGAUUUUUGGGAACUACACUCCAAUUCAAUAGCCACUGUUUGCAACUGUCAUGAUUAUCACACUCAUUCUUCCAGCAGAGAAAAAUGUUGGGGAGAGAUUUGUUACCCCCUUUUUACUCCCCCAGUCCCAUAACAGGCCUACAUGUAAAGGAAUGGAGCAGAAUUAAAAAAUAGGUCACUUUAGUUUAGCACAACUAAAUAUGUAUCUAAAGGUUAGCUAUUGUUGUGCUAUUUCUUUUAUUUCUCACUUUAUAUUAUUUGCAUACUUUACAGGCAUCUCUCCCAGUGCUGUACACGCCGCACAUAUAUACAAGAUUUCUAAUUUAGAUGCCAGAGUGCGCAUGUGCAUAGCGAGGCAUCAUUGGGCAAUGGAGACUCAAAUUUAAUUUUACUUACCUCUGCAGGAUUAUUCACCUCUGUAAACCCUAAAAUAACAUUUACUGGGAUGAAGGAACAAAGAACCAUCACUUCUGUAAAAAGUGACUGUUAAUUUUUAAUAACUUCAGGAGUGGGUAGCACUGGGAUAUGCAUAUCCCAGGCUGCCACAGAUUGAAGGCCAUCACUCUUGGGCUGCCAUCCAUGCCUACUAUUAAUUAUUCAGUCCCUCCAUCAGAUAUUUACAGGUGAUUAAAUCAAAGAUUAUUAGAUUUUUUUUUAUUUUUUUUUUAUUUUAUUAUUAGGCUUGCACAAAAAAGUGUUCCAUCCUUAAAUCAAUUUGUGCAAAUCAAAAUACUUUUAAUCCACACCGAAUAAAUCAAUACGUUCAGAAAUAAGUUAAUUUCUGAAUAAAUCAAUCCGUUCAGGUGUGGAUUUUUAAUUCUUAUCAAUAUUUUAAUUUAUGGACAAAACUCAUUUUCUGCACAAGUCUAGUUAAUACUUUUAAGUAUAAAUUUUUUGUAGUAUUAGUGUUAUUUUUUAUUUUAGUAUAAAUCCCACUACUAAUUGUACAAGAUGUAUAUUAUGGAUCACCUAAGUGGGUUUUUUUUUUUUUUUUUUUUAAUGAAGUAGUUCAAAUGAAUCCUAGGAUGUAGAUAUUCCAUAAUAAUCAUAAUUUACUAGCCGAUAACAAUUUCUGACAAAGUUCUAAAUGUGGAAAUGUCUGUGUGACAUUUGGCCAAUUCCUUACAGUUCUUUUGCUCCGUGAAUAACCCUGAGAGUGUCUGUGGUUAAAAUUCACUGCUGCAACCAAUGAUCCUUGCGAUAAACUCCAUCUAAAACACAUGUAAAAGGUAAAUGUAUAUGUUUUAUUGCUAAAAGACCUAAAUGGUAAAAUAUGGUAAAAGCCAUACUGCUAUCACAUCAGCCUUAUGAUUUUCCAGAAAUCUCUAAGGUAGAACUGGAUGUGUUUGCUUGCUACUGUGCCAAGCAGACUGCCCAAGUCCUGUCAUAUUGACGGCUGCAAGAAACCCUGCAUCGUGUUGAGAGCAAAGACGUAUUAUCCUUUUUUUUUUUUUUUUUUUAAAUAGUUCUUGUGUGAAUACUCCAAGUACCAUAAGCACUACAGCUCUCAGCCAAUGAUCUAAUCUAAGUCCUGCAAGUCAGGAGAGCUAACAGAAGCUCCUGAUUUUGUUCCGGCAUUAGUAGUGGAGGUGGAGAGAGACUCUUGGCAAGCCGCAAGUAAGAAAGCAAACCAUUUAAAAGGGGGUUGACUGUUUACAAAGGAAGGGGAGGGCACAGCUGGCACCAUAACCACUACAGUGAGAUGUAGUGGUUAUGGUGCUUGGAGUAUUACUUUUAAUGUCUGAGUUUGUGCGGGCAAUUCAUUCCAAUAACUUCCCGUACACAAUUAUGGGCUGGGAGUAGGUGCAUGUAAAAAUAUUUUGUAUUUUUUGUUUUGUUUUUUAAAUAAAAUUUUAACUGUUUAUAAAAUACAGAUUAUCUUGUAAACAAGUCAUGUUUCUUGAAAAUAAUCUUUAUCAAAUGAAUCAUUUUGUACAAAAAUUAUUAGUGAUCGGUUUUAUUUUCUUACAGUGUUGAUAUAACUGUAAAUCUUUAAAGACAAAUUAUUGUUCUACUG
rnacentral:lncRNA from 1 species